rnacentral:rRNA from 1 species
AGCGAACGCUGGCGGCAGGCCUAAUACAUGCAAGUCGAACGGCUCUUCGGAGCAGUGGCGGACGGGUGAGUAACGCGUGGGAACGUGCCCUUUGGUACGGAACAACUGAGGGAAACUUCAGCUAAUACCGUAUGUGCCCUACGGGGGAAAGAUUUAUCGCCAUUGGAGCGGCCCGCGUUGGAUUAGCUAGUUGGUGAGGUAAAGGCUCACCAAGGCGACGAUCCAUAGCUGGUCUGAGGGGAUGAUCAGCCACACUGGGACUGAGACACGGCCCAGACUCCUACGGGAGGCAGCAGUAGGGAAUCUUGCGCAAUGGGCGAAGCCUGACGCAGCCAUGCCGCGUGAAUGAUGAAGGUCUUAGGAUUGUAAAAUUCUUUCACCGGGGAAGAUAAUGACGGUACCCGGAGAAGAAGCCCCCGGCUAACUUCGUGCCAGCAGCCGCGGUAAUACGAAGGGGGCUAGCGUUGCUCGGAAUUACUGGGCGUAAAGGGCGCGUAGGCGGAUAUUUAAGUCAGGGGUGAAAGCCCGGGGCUCAACCUCGGAAUUGCCUUUGAUACUGGAUAUCUUGAGUUCGGGAGAGGUGAGUGGAAUGCCGAGUGUAGAGGUGAAAUUCGUAGAUAUUCGGCGGAACACCAGUGGCGAAGGCGACACACUGGGCCCCGAUACUGACGCUGAGGCGCGAAAGCGUGGGGAGCAAACAGGAUUAGAUACCCU